GAAUGUCCAUCAGAAAUCGAAUCAAUGACAUUUCCCCGAAACCCAUAUUACCGAAGGGACAUUUCCCCGAAUGCCACCUCCCCGAAAAGACACUUCCCCUAAUAGUCAUUUCCCCGAAAUCCAUUUACCCGAAUUUACCGUUUCCCCUAAUCUUCCACAUCCUUGAAUGCCAUUUUCCCGAAUGGGCCACAAUCCCGAAUGCCACUUACCCGAUUAGUCAUAUCCCUGAAUAGUCAUUUUCCUGAACGCGCGCUCCGGGGCACCGGGCAGUUCCGCUUGACCGCAUUCGGGGAAAUAUCAUUUUAUUAACAAUAAUUCAAUAGAAAUUUUGCUUUUUUAUUAUUAAAAAAACAUAUUGUGCGAUUUCCGUAGUACAGAACCCCGUUCACACUGAUUAUUUUAUUCGCCUUGCUGGUUUGGAAUUUAAUUUUAUGGCGAAAAGUAACUUGUAAUCAACAUGGCAAAAUUUAUCGAAAAUAGAUCAAUAGUUGACUGAGCACUUCUUUCGCUAAGGCUACGACAUUCUGACUUUGACAUUCUGUUUUCGUUCGUCCACAUACGAACAAAUGACUACAAUGCAGAGUCAUUUGACUCUCUCCAGUUAUAGAGGCAGUGAGGGCAGAAUGGACCAUGGGGGCAGAAUGGGCCACUCUUGGUUUUGGGCUUUAGAAUGGAUUUAGACUAACUGGCAAGGGUCUUAUAAAAGACGUCAAAUAACAUCACCACACCGAAAACGACGUUUGAAUUCAUUGUAUUUUUCGAAUUAUUAGCAAAAAUGUAAAUUUAUUGACAAAACCACGCAAAUGUUGUUUAUUUCGAGGUUCUUAAAUAAGCUUUCUCAAAAGUUAGAUUAUUUGAAAAAGUUUGUUCAAUGUUUAUAAUGUUACCAGGAGCUAUUACAAAGCUAAUCAAACAACAACGGAACAUUCAAAUCAUUUAGAGGCUUUGUGGUGUAAGUGUUAAAUUAAGAUCUACUUGGGGGCAGAAUGGACCACCAAUUUCCUGCCUUAUAAAAACAAUGAAAAGUUGCGAAAUUUGAGCUAAAUAAAUUAUUUCACUCCUGGUAGCUUCACAAAUCACGUUUAAUGCAACAUUAGUUGAUUUUUUAAUUGUUUUGACGCUUAUUUGUAAAAAUAGUGUCUUUUUUCGACAUAUUUACACUAUUUUCAAAAAUGUUUGUUUUGUUAAGUGACUAUUUUUAUAAAAGUGAUCAAACUUCAUGGAAACUAUGAUGGAAAGGUUACUUAAGUCAUUUCUUAUCACCCUUCGACGUUGUAUUAGACGAAAUUGCUUAUUUUCUAAGGUGGCCCAUUCUGCCCUGCAGGGUGGUCCAUUCUGCCCCGCACCCUGGAGAAAGUAGUCGAAAAACACAUUUUUUUAAAAUUGCAUCAAAAUAGUUUAAAGCUGAAAUUUUUUAUAAACCAAGUAUACAACAUUGAAUGGAACAUCCCAAAGCAUGAGCCUACUACACUGGAUUCAUAAAUUUGUAGUUUGAGAAGAGCAUGUGCCUUUGAAUCGAGCGGCUGCAUCAGUACUGAGCUCGGUUUCCGUUCGUUUUAACUUUGUGUGCGUUCACUGACGGUUGCUUCGCGAUGACGAUCAAGACAGGCACGCUCGGUCAGCAUUUAACGAUCCAUUCGAUGAUGAAGGCCUACACAUUAAAAAUAAUCAUGGUAAUAUUACAUCUUUUUGGCAAGAAAAAGAUUUUAAUAUAACCUCUGACAAACGGCCCACUUUGAAAAGGAGCAGAGGGGGGAACAAAAACCUUAAAUAAAGUUUAUACCAGCCUUAUGUUCCUAUUUGUCCGAUUUUUUGGUUCUUGAACAAAAUUCGAAAAAAAACUUCUCAAAACCAACAUCUCAUUCUGCGGUAUAAUACAAGUGUCAAUUAAACAAACUAUUUUUUCUAAUAAUUUACAACAUUUAAUCAACAGCAUACCCGAAAAAGCUGUUCGGUGAAAUUGAGAAAGAAAAUAACUGUUAGGGGAAGUCAUGGAAAAUGGCUUUAGAGCAAUUCUCUACGAAAUCGGUCUUUUUUCUUCAAUUUUAAUUUUUGUAUUUUUUAAUCCGGCUGAAACUUUUUUGGUGCCUUCGGUAUGCCCAAAGAAGCCAUUUUGCAUCAUUAGUUUGUCCAUAUAAUUUUCCAUACAAAUUCGGCAGCUGUCCAUACAAAAAUGAUGUAUGAAAAUUCAAAAAUCUGUAUCUUUUGAAGGAAUUUUUUGAUCGAUUUGGUGUCUUCGGCAAAGUUGUAGGUAUGGAUACGGACUACACUGGAAAAAAUAAUACACGGUAAAAAAAAAUUUGGUGAUUUUUUUAUUUAACUUUUUAUCACUAAAACUUGAUUUACAAAAAAACACUAUUUUUAAUUUUUUUAAUUUUUGAUAUGUUUUAGAAGACAUAAAAUGCCAACUUUUCAGAAAUUUCCAGGUUGUGCAAAAAAUCACUGACCGAGUUAUGAAUUUUUUAAUCAAUACUGAUUUUUUCAAAAAAUCGAAAUUUUGGUCGUAAAAAUUUUUCAACUUCAUUUUUCGAUGUAAAAUCAAAUUUGCAAUCAAAAAGUACUUUACUAAAAUUUUGAUAAAGUGCACCGUUUUCAAGUUAUAGCCAUAUUUAAGUGACUUUUUUGAAAAUAGUCGCAGUUUUUCAUUUUUUUAAAUUAGUGCACAUGUUUGCCCAGUUUUGAAAAAAAUAUUUUUGAAAAGCUGAGAAAAUUCUCUAUAUUUUGCUUAUUCGGACUAUGUUGAUACGACCUUUAGUUGCUGAGAUAUUGCAAUGCAAAGGUUUAAAAACAGGAAAAUUGAUGUUUUCUAAGUUUCACCCAAACAACCCACCAUUUUCUAUCGUCAAUAUCUCAGCAACUAAUGGUCCGAUUUUCAAUGUUAAUAUAUGAAACAAUUGUGAAAUUUUCCGAUCUUUUCGAAAAAAAUAUUUUUGGAAUUUUCAAAUCAAGACAAACAUUUUAAAAGGGCGUAAUAUUGAAUGUUUGGCCUUUGUGAAAUGUUAGUCUUGAUUUGAAAAUUCCAAAAAUAUUUUUUUCGAAGAGUUCGGAAAAUUUCACAAAUGUUUCAUAUAUUAACAUUGAAAAUCGGACCAUUAGUUGCUGAGAUAUUGACGAUAGAAAAUGGUGGGUUGUUUGGGUGAAACUUAGAAAACAUCAAUUUUCCUGUUUUUAAACCUUUGCAUUGCAAUAUCUCAGCAACUAAAGGUCGUAUCAACAAAGUCCAAAUAAGCAAAAUAUAGAGAAUUUUCUCAGCUUUUCAAAAAUAUUUUUUUCAAAACUGGGCAAACAUGUGCACUAAUUUAAAAAAAUGAAAAACUGCGACUAUUUUCAAAAAAGUCACUUAAAUAUGGCUAUAACUUGAAAACGGUGCACUUUAUCAAAAUUUCAGUAAAGUACUUUUUGAUUGCAAAUUUGAUUUUACAUCGAAAAAUGAAGUUGAAAAAUUUUUACGACCAAAAUUUCGAUUUUUUGAAAAAAUCAGUAUUGAUUAAAAAAUUCAUAACUCGGUCAGUGAUUUUUUGCACAACCUGGAAAUUUCUGAAAAGUUGGCAUUUUAUGCCUUCUAAAACAUAUCAAAAAAUAAAAAAAAUUAAAAAUAGUGUUUUUUUGUAAAUCAAGUUUUAGUGAUAAAAAGUUAAAUAAAAAAAUCACCAAAUUUUUUUUACCGUGUAUUAUUUUUUUCCAGUGUAGUCCGUAUCCAUACCUACAACUUUGCCGAAGACACCAAAUCGAUCAAAAAAUUCCUUCAAAAGAUACAGAUUUUUGAAUUUUCAUACAUCAUUUUUGUAUGGACAGCUGCCGAAUUUGUAUGGAAAAUUAUAUGGACAAACUAAUGAUGCAAAAUGGCUUCUUUGGGCAUACCGAAGGCACCAAAAAAGUUUCAGUCGGAUUAAAAAAUACAAAAAAAAUCGAAUGACCGAAAUCCUAGAGAACUGCUCUUUAGCAAAAAUGAUGUUCAGGGAAAAUUCGGGAAAAUUAAAAUUCAAAUAAACGGAAAUUAGCGUAAGUGUCAAUUAGGGGAAAUGGCAUUCGGCGAAGUGGCCGAUUAGGGGAAAUGGCAUUCGGGAAUGUAGCCGAUUAGGGGAAAUGAUAUCCGAUGAAAUGGCACUCGGUUAUGUGGCUGAUUAGGGAAUGUGGUAUUCGGGGAUGCGGCCAAUUAGGGGAAAUGAUUUUCGGGUAAAUAGCUUUCGGGAAAAUAGCAUUCGGGGAAAUGAGCUAGACCCCAGAAAUUCGUGUCCUAGCACACUCUGCGCACGGAGAACUGGACACUCAAAAUAAUCCACACGUUGAUGCUACCUGAAAAAAACACGUAACUCCGAUUUUCCCCUCGCUAGGCUCGUUUCACGUGACACACGUAAAAAUAAUGUGAAAGUGUACUGGCAAAAAAAAGUUUUCACGUUGAUGUUACGUGAAAAGCCUUAUGGUAUUUUUCCACUAGGUUUUUUCAUGUAGUUUUUAUGUGUUUCAAAAUUUAACUUCAACGGAACGCGAGUGCGCCAUUCGGCGAAAUUUCUACGUGAUUAUUUUAGUAUGAAAAUUGAUGGCGCUCGGUGAAGAACUGCUGCCGGACUUGUGCUUGCAAAAUUUCAUCAAAAAUAGAACAGACGCUGCCGAACUCUGGAAGCAGCAUAUUUUUCCGGUGGCCACUUGAAUUCUGGCCUGUUUCAACAUAAGCGGUUGGUCGUGGUGAUCGACCCCACCAAAAAUGUCACGGACAUUGCAAACGGCUCGUGGACCUUUGCCGAGUUUGCUCCGGAGGAGUGCGAGGAUGCUUUGCGGCCAUCCUCUCGUCGGCCUUGGUCAGUGUGGUGCAGAAAGCUGUAUCCGGCAAGAUCAACAAACCGAUGCGCGGAAUUCGAGAGCUGAACGUGGUCGCCCAUCUCUCAAACUUCUUCCUUGCCACGCACUACGUAAACCCAAAACGUUCCGACCAUCCGAGCACCCAACUUGCUUUGCCUAGUUGUUCACUAAUAACCUCUCCCCGGUGAUGUGCGGCCACGUCAACGUGGCAUAAAAGGCUUUCGUCAACGACGACGAAUUCGGAACGGGUUCCCGUGCGGCCACAAAGGGCAGCGGAAUCGAAAAGCUGCGCGCGAAGGUCUUCCCGCUCGGUUACAUGAGGGACUGGGCCAUUUUUUUAAAUGUUUGAAAUGGAAAAUUCAAUAAAACAUUGAUCUGAAUUGUAAUUAAAACUGCAUCUUUAUUUUUUUCUGUUGACAAAAAAUCCGAAAUUAGAUCACAUUAGUACUAGAAGGUCACUAUAAUGUUUACUGCAACAAACAUGUAGAAAUCAUCAAUUGAUUCAUUUAGCUUUUACGUGUGAAGCACGUAGAAACGACGUGAAAUGAUCUCGCCAAGCAAAUUCCGUUUCUACUAGGGCCGCCUCGUAGAAGUUACGUGAAAACUUUAGUGGAAAAAUACCACAUAGCUUUUCACGUAACUUCAACGUGAAUAUUUUUUUGAGUGGACGGUUUUUUUAUUUAUUUUUUUUAUUUAUUUGUUUGAUUCCGACAGACAACUUGAUGUCCAAACGAAUUUCUUAACCAUCUUACAUUUAAAUAACAUAAAUCACUUGAACAGGUUCAAUAAUUGCAAACAUAACACAUACAUCAUUGACAAGAAAAUUAAUUGAUUGUCACUACACCCAAAAAACAUUUCACCACAAAGUUGCAUGAAAAUUCCGGUAGCAGCCAAUUUUUGCACCAAAUCAACGUUUUACUUGAGUCAUGCAACUUUCGUAUUGCAUUCAUGUCAACUCUGCUUGAUUUCCACGCAGCUUACACUCACACAACUAAAUGUCACGUGAAAUUCAUGCCUGAAAAUUUGGAGGCGUGGCUUUCAGUCAGCUGAGUUUUGGUUUGCAUGAUUAUCACGCAACAUCUUCGUGUAAACUGGUAUGGAAAAAAUCCAUACACUUUUUCAUGCAGCAUUGUGGUGAAAAAUUGGUUGAGGUAGCAUGAAAUUCCUGUCUGCAAAUUUUGUUGAGCUCGGAAACCGGGAUUUCAUUUCAGAUGAUUUUUGGUUCUUUAGCCGAACGGACUUGACAGAAUUCCGUGGCCGUUUUUUUUUGCUGGAUAAAUUGGAGUAAGAUUUAUUAAUAAAUUCAAAUUAAUUCUUCGUGCUGCUGAAGUUGCCGUGUUUUGAUGGUGAACGAGAGGAAAGAUUUCAUAAGCCGGGGGACAAAGGCUUUCAGUAAGACUGUCAAGUAACCGGAUUUUGGAGUGAGUCUGGGAGGACGAUUUAAACGAGACCACCCCGAAAACCUUCAGCGGAAAUGAGUGGCAGAAGCAGAUAUGCGUGUGAAAAAACGUGAAAACUGUGUGUUUAUAAUUAGUGUGCCAGUUAUAAAAUUGUGAAUUGAAUGUGUGUUUUAUGUUUGUAUCUUUCUGAUUGCAAACUAAGCUUUUUUUUGUCAUUCUACACUGAAAAAAUCUGACAUAGCAAACUCAAGUGCUUUUUCACGUGAUCUGCUCCAAAAAUCAUCACGAUAAUUUCACAUGCUUAUCCAAUGGCUUCGAUAGUUUGUUCAUGUUCCAUUGAUGUGAAAAUCAUUUGAAAUCAGCUGAUCCCAACCGAAAACCGCUUCACUCUUUUAUCACAUGGUGUUCCUUUGAUAGUGAAGGGAAAUUCACGUUAAAACCAGAUGUUUUGAAUUUGAAUGUCGAGUGUUGCAAAUUUGUUCCGAAAAUCAAUAAGCAAGAUGGCGAGAAGGAAAAAUGCACGAUUUGAGCUCGUCUUUUAAAACAGCUUUUUAUUUCAAUUAUUCAAGGAAUUCAUCUGAAUUUUCACAAAGAAUCGUGAUUUUGACGAUGGUAAGUAAUUAUGCAAUUAUAAAGUAAUGC